AGCCUUUCCUUUCAGCUUACAUUGAUUUAUUGAAUAAGUUUUUCUCUUAAUUUAAUUCUUAUUGUAAUUCUUGGAAAUUAAGCCAGCGAAAAGGAUCUCUCUCUCCUUUUUUUUUUUUCCCCUUUAUAAUGUUUCUAGUUUUAUUUGAGUUAUUAUGUGCUGGGCAGGGGAAAGGAACAAGACUCACACGGUCACACCCUGUGCGUGUGCUGCAGCUGCCGCAGCUUCUAUCUCCAGAAAAGCCGCUGCUGAUUCCACCCUCGCCGUAUCCGAAGAUGUAAUUGAAUCAAGGAGGCUAUUUGUCGGAAGACAACUGAAACCGGCAGGAUGAGGUACCUGUGAUACGUCUCGUUCCGGUUCAAGAGCUGUUUCAGUGAAGGCACUCAGGCAGCUCCAAUGAGAAGGGGAUCCUCUGCUUCCACUUGAAAGAUGGCCUCUCAGGCCUGAGUAGGAAGUCAGGAAGCUUCAUUUCCAUUUUCUGUUGUCUUUUCCCUCGUCAUUUCCCAGUUUUAAAUUGGUGUCUUUUGGUUACGGAACCACAAAAUGCUGAAAUCCCGGUAGUUCAUUUCCCAGUU